UACGUAGGGCGCGAGCGUUGUCCGGAAUCAUUGGGCGUAAAGAGCUCGUAGGCGGUUUGUCGCGUCUGCUGUGAAAGCCUGGGGCUCAACUCCGGGAUUGCAGUGGGUACGGGCAGACUAGAGUGCGGUAGGGGAGACUGGAAUUCCUGGUGUAGCGGUGGAAUGCGCAGAUAUCAGGAAGAACACCGAUGGCGAAGGCAGGUCUCUGGGCCGUUACUGACGCUGAGGAGCGAAAGCAUGGGGAGCGAACAGG
rnacentral:rRNA from 1 species